GCCGGGCGCGGUGGCGCUCGCCUGUAGUCCCAGCUACUCCAGAGGCUGAGGCUGGAGGAUCGCUUGAGCCCAGGAGUUCUGGGCUGUAGGGCGCUAUGCCGAUCGGGUGUCCACACUAAGUUCGGCAUCAGUAUGGUGACCUCCCGGGAGCGGGGGACCACCAGGUUGCCUAAGGAGGGGUGAACCGGCCCAGGUCGGAAACGGAGCAGGUCAAAGACUUAAGAGAAUAAAAUUAGCUAUCGUAUCUGUAAAGUCAAAUUUAUUUUUAGUUCAACGACCAUCCUCGA
rnacentral:SRP_RNA from 1 species